UACGGAGGGUGCGAGCGUUGUCCGGAAUCAUUGGGCGUAAAGGGCGCGUAGGUGGCCUGGUCAGCGUGCGGUGAAAGCUCGGGGCUCAACCCCGAGUCGGCCGUGCGAACUGCUGGGCUGGAGCACUGUAGAGGCAGGCGGAAUUCCGGGUGUAGCGGUGGGAAUGCGUAGAGAUCCGGAAGAACACCAACGGCGAAAAGCACUCUGCUGGGCCGACACUGACACUGAGAGACGAAGCUAGGGGAGCGAAUGGG
rnacentral:rRNA from 1 species